rnacentral:lncRNA from 10 species
GCUGGCAGUUAUCUUGUGUUCUUGAAGGAAGCAGGCCUGAGGAGGACUCCUCAUACAGAGAGAAACACCGAGAGAUUCACUGAAAAACUGACAUGGGAUCCUGAGGGGCCACUCUUGAAGACUUAUCUCUGCACCUUUCUGGGCACUGUGCAUACAGCAAUGAUCAGCAUGAUUCCAGUGCUCAGAGAGCUCCAAGGAUUAGUUGAGACCAGACAAGAAUAUCAAGGAGGCAUGCAGAAGUUACAAUGGGAAAUCAAAAAGAAGACAAAGGAGGGACACCUAAUUCAGAACGAUGGGUUUGUUGGAUAGGAGAGAAAAGGAGACGAAUGGGCAGGUAUCAUCAAAGAUUCCUAAGAAGAAGUUCCUAACUUCUGUUUUUGUGCCAUUGACUCUUUGGCAGUGUGGAGAAACCCAGGGACCCAUUUUCAGAACAGUGUUUUUAAAUGCAUAAAAUAUUUUGGAUUAAAAGGAAACUCUGAGUAUUGAAAUACCUAACAAAAUAUUUUAAAAGCAAAUUUGUAAUACAGUAAUGUAUAUGCUUCUUUAUUAACUAAUUAAAGAACAAGAUAUAGCAA